GGAACAUCGUCACACUAUCGAUCAACUUGUUGGUACUUUUGAAGCUUUGUAUAUAUGGUAUAUGGCAUGUAUAGGCUAGUGUCAUUUUGGUAUGUUUUGAACUUUGAAUUUAGCCAUGUGAGUUGGCUUGUAAAUGGUGUUGUUGAUGAAGUUGAAUUUGACUUAUGUUAUGAGUUAAUAUGUGAUAUGUGAUGUAUUUAUG
rnacentral:lncRNA from 1 species